rnacentral:lncRNA from 1 species
CCUUUUUAUCAACCAACUAGUAUCCAUGGGGAUCCAUAGGGGUCCCCGCUACCCGUGAACUAUUCCCUUAACAAACUUAAUUUCCAGGGCCGUCCCCAUACCCCGUACGGUAUGGACGCCAAACAAUAAACCUCAAUACCCCGUCCGGUAUGAGGGUGAAGCGGGCCGUCCCCAUACCCCGUCCGGUAUGAGCGCCAAAAUAUUUAAAUUCUCCAUACCCCGUUCGGUAUGAGACAACAUUCCCGGUAGGGUUCCCUAUGGACCCGGUCCGUCCACCGUCCCCCAAGAUAUCUAGUGAGGCUAUCAGCUUAUCCAUUUAUCAAUUCACAUACCUUUUGUAUUUUUUUCUUAGUUUUCCGUUUCCCACAUAAACAUGAAUACUUAAACAAUUAACGAGCACCUAACAAGGUAAGUAUUUUAUUAGAUUCUUGAAAUUAGGCCGAAAUAAAGUAAGUAGUGAU